CCUACGGGGGGCUGCAGUGGGGAAUAUUGGACAAUGGGGGGAACCCUGAUCCAGCCAUGCCGCGUGUGUGAAGAAGGCCCUCGGGUUGUAAAGCCCUUUCAGUGAGGAAGAACGCCUGGUGGUUAAUACCCAUCAGGAAAGACAUCACUCACAGAAGAAGCACCGGCUAACUCCGUGCCAGCAGCCGCGGUAAUACGGAGGGUGCGAGCGUUAAUCGGAAUUACUGGGCGUAAAGCGCGCGUAGGUGGCUUGAUAAGCCGGUUGUGAAAGCCCCGGGCUCAACCUGGGAACGGCAUCCGGAACUGUCAAGCUAGAGUGCAGGAGAGGAAGGUAGAAUUCCCGGUGUAGCGGUGAAAUGCGUAGAGAUCGGGAGGAAUACCAGUGGCGAAGGCGGCCUUCUGGACUGACACUGACACUGAGGUGCGAAAGCGUGGGUAGCAAACAGGAUUAGAUACCCGAGUAGUC
rnacentral:rRNA from 1 species